GAUGAACGCUAGCGGCAGGCCUAAUACAUGCAAGUCGAACGGAUAUAUGUUUUUCGGAAUAUAUAUUAGUGGCGCACGGGUGAGUAACGCGUACAUAACUUGCCCUCAAGCGGGGGAUAGCCUUGGGAAACGUGAGAGUAAUACCCCAUAGAAUUAUUGGACGGCAUCGUUUGAUAAUUAAAACUACGGUGUUUGGGGAUAGAUGUGCGUCUGAUUAGCUAGUUGGUGAGGUAACUGCUCACCAAGGCGACGAUCAGUAGGGGGCGUGAGAGCGUGGCCCCCCACACGGGUACUGAGACACGGACCCGACUCCUACGGGAGGCAGCAGUAAGGAAUAUUGGUCAAUGGAGGGAACUCUGAACCAGCCAUGCCGCGUGAAGGAUGACGGCCCUCUGGGUUGUAAACUUCUUUUGGAUGGGCGAAAAAACGGGAUUUAUCCUGGACUGACGGUACCAUCAGAAUAAGCACCGGCUAACUCCCGUGCCAGCAGCCGCGGUAAAGUAGUCGGUGU
rnacentral:rRNA from 1 species